rnacentral:lncRNA from 1 species
GCUUCUUAACCUUUAGGCCAACAUUAGCGGAGUUUAUUUCAAAUCAUGGUGAUGUAUGAUCCUCGACGCAGAUCUUCCAGAAGAUGUGUGAGGGUGUGGAGACUACAACUCUAGGCCCAGGGUGUGGGGCUUACCUAAGGGAGAUGCCAAGUAAUCUAACAGCACCUACAUGUAUGAUAAACUACAUGUGGGUACACCAUCCAGGAAUGAAGGAGUGGUGCGUCACUUGAGUGGGUUGAGUCACUAACGUGGUCUUCCUGUCUGGGUUGGCGCCCCCCCUUGGGUUGUGCCGUGGCGGAGAUCUUUGUGGGCUAUACUCGGCCUUGUCUCAGGAUGGACCUGAGCCCUAGGACCAUGCCUCAGGACUACCUGGCAUGAUGACUCCUUGCUGUCCCCAGUCCACCUGGCCGUGCUGCUGCUCCAGUUUCAAUUGUUCUGCCUGCGGCUAUGUAACCCGGACCUGUUCACCGGACGUGCUACCUGUCCCAGACCUGCUGUUUUCAACUCUCUAAAGACAGAAGUAGCGGUAGAGAUACUCUGAAUGAUCGGCUAUGAAAAGCCAACUGACAUUUACUCUUGAGGUGCUGACUUGUUGCACCCUCGACAACUACUGUGAUUAUUAUUAUUUGACCAUGCUGGUCAUUUAUGAACAUUUGAACAUCUUG